rnacentral:rRNA from 1 species
GAACGCUGGCGGCGUGCUUAACACAUGGCAAGUCGAACGGAGAUGUUUCGCUGAAGCGAGCUUGCUCAAUUCUUGAGACAUCUUAGUGGCGGACGGGUGAGUAACGCGUGGGUAACCUGCCAUAUACAGGGGGGAUAACACUUAGAAAUAGGUGCUAAUACCGCAUAAGCGCACAGUACCGCAUGGUACGGUGUGAAAAACUCCGGUGGUAUGAGAUGGACCCGCGUCUGAUUAGCUAGUUGGUGAGGUAACGGCUCACCAAGGCGACGAUCAGUAGCCGACCUGAGAGGGUGACCGGCCACAUUGGGACUGAGACACGGCCCAAACUCCUACGGGAGGCAGCAGUGGGGAAUAUUGCACAAUGGGCGAAAGCCUGAUGCAGCGACGCCGCGUGAACGAAGAAGUAUUUCGGUAUGUAAAGCUCUAUCAGCAGGGAAGAAAAUGACGGUACCUGACUAAGAAGCCCCGGCUAACUACGUG